UGAUGAUGAUGAUGAUGAUGUUGAUGAUGGACGAUGAUGAUGUUGAUGUCGAUGACGGUGACCAUCAUCACCAUCAUCAUCAUCAUCAUCAUCACGA
rnacentral:pre_miRNA from 1 species